rnacentral:rRNA from 1 species
UACGUAGGGGGCUAGCGUUGUCCGGAAUCAUUGGGCGUAAAGCGCGCGUAGGCGGCCCCAGUAAGUCCGUUGUAAAAGUCAAAGGCUCAACCUUUGAAAGCCGGUGGAUACUGUGAGGCUAGAGUACGGAAGAGGCGAGUGGAAUUCCUGGUGUAGCGGUGGAAUGCGCCAGAUAUCAGGAGGAACACCAAUAGCGAAGGCAGCUCGCUGGGACGUUACUGACACUGAGGCGCGAAAGCGUGGGAGCGAAGCAG